rnacentral:rRNA from 1 species
AGAGCGAACGCUGGCGGCAGGCCUAACACAUGCAAGUCGAGCGGAAAGGCCCUUCGGGGUACUCGAGCGGCGAACGGGUGAGUAACACGUGAGUAAUCUGCCCCUAGCUCUGGGAUAGCUCCGGGAAACCGGGAUUAAUACCGGAUACGACCACUUUAGACAUCUGUUGUGGUGGAAAGAAUUUUGGCUAGGGAUGAGCUCGCGGCCUAUCAGCUUGUUGGUGGGGUAACGGCCUACCAAGGCGACGACGGGUA